rnacentral:tRNA from 1 species
UAAAUGAAAGCCAAAAUGGAGGCAUCUAUCUGUUAAGUAGAAAACUGUAAAUUUAUUACUCAUUUAG